rnacentral:lncRNA from 1 species
CUAAAAGGGACAUCUGAAAAGGUUUCUGCUGCAGGACACUGCUUAGCACUGAGAGCAAACCAACACCGUGCCUGAAGGAUUACCAGCUCUCUUGAUUCCUCGCAAUGCUACCACAGGACCUCAUCCCUGGACACAGAGAUCUCAACCCAGAGCUCUUGGCACGCUGCAGACUGUGCAGGCUGAGUUGAAGAUCCCUCUUAUUCUCCGGGUACCGAGAACUAUGAACAAACCUGCGAUCCCUUCACUCUCAGGGAGCAGCAGCAAGGCUCAACCCUACAUACAUGUAGAUGCGUUUGUGACCUGACA